rnacentral:rRNA from 1 species
AUUGAACGCUGGCGGCAUGCUUUACACAUGCAAGUCGAACGGCAGCGCGGGGCAACCUGGCGGCGAGUGGCGAACGGGUGAGUAAUACAUCGGAACGUACCCAGAAGUGGGGGAUAACGUAGCGAAAGUUACGCUAAUACCGCAUACGUUCUACGGAAGAAAGUGGGGGACCGUUCGGCCGUCAUGCUUUUGGUAGCGGCCGGAUGUCUGAUUAGCUAGUUGGUGAGGUAAAGGACUCACCAA